rnacentral:lncRNA from 1 species
AAUAUGACUAUUCUUUACUUUAAAUUUCUAGCUUGGUACCCUUCUUGUACUUCCAUAUUUCUUUGCCUUUACAAUAAUAUAAUGUAUUUAGUCCUAAAGUGUAAAUUAUCUUUUCUAUAUAUAAUAGCACGAGGAUAAGGAUCAUUCAAGCUACAAUGGUGACCCUUUUAGGUUUGUAUCAAGCACUACAAACUCGAUACAUGUAGUUUUAG